CUUCUGGUGUAUUAUAAAUAAAUACCAGUACCUUCAGACUGUUAUGUGAGACACAUCUUGCUGUGACUCUACCCUUUUCGAGUAUUCAGUCUGAAACAGCAUUAGCCAGUGGAGUCUCUGCCUAAGUGAACAGUCGUUUGCUUCACUGCUGAUAACUUGAUGGCAUUCUGGACCCGAUCAAGUGUCAGACAGACUGUUCUCCCAGACCAUUUGGUGAGAUUUUUUGCAAGGUUUUUAGCAGGAGGACCAGGACCAGAGAUCUACAUAUCGGGCCCUUUCUAAAGAAUAGGUACAUUUUGUGGGAUCGUCGUUUCGGAAAGAUGGCUCACAGAACUGUGCUUCAGAGCCAGAGCGCAG
rnacentral:lncRNA from 1 species